rnacentral:rRNA from 1 species
UACGAAGGGGGCUAGCGUUGCUCGGAAUCACUGGGCGUAAAGGGCGCGUAGGCGGUCUUUUAAGUCGGGGGUGAAAGCCUGUGGCUCAACCACAGAAUUGCCUUCGAUACUGGGAGACUUGAGUUCGGAAGAGGUUGGUGGAACUGCGAGUGUAGAGGUGAAAUUCGUAGAUAUUCGCAAGAACACCGGUGGCGAAGGCGGCCAACUGGUCCGACACUGACGCUGAGGCGCGAAAGCGUGGGGGGCGAACGGG